AUUGAACGCUAGCGGGAUGCUUUACACAUGCAAGUCGAACGGCAGCGCGGACUUCGGUCUGGCGGCGAGUGGCGAACGGGUGAGUAAUGUAUCGGAACGUGCCCAGUAGCGGGGGAUAACUACGCGAAAGCGUAGCUAAUACCGCAUACGCCCUACGGGGGAAAGCAGGGGAUCGUAAGACCUUGCACUAUUGGAGCGGCCGAUAUCGGAUUAGCUAGUUGGUGAGGUAACGGCUCACCAAGGCGACGAUCCGUAGCUGGUUUGAGAGGACGACCAGCCACACUGGGACUGAGACGCGGCCCAGACUCCUACGGGAGGCAGCAGUGGGGAAUUUUGGACAAUGGGGGCAAGCCUGAUCGAGCCAUCCCGCGUGUGCGAUGAAGGCCUUCGGGUUGUAAAGCACUUUUGGCAGGAAGGAAACGUCGCGGGCUAAUACCCCGUGGAACUGACGGUACCUGCAGAAUAAGCACCGGCUAACUACGUG
rnacentral:rRNA from 1 species